rfam:Nematostella vectensis strain CH2 x CH6 NEMVEscaffold_713_Cont32124, whole genome shotgun sequence.
GCGUCGUUAGCGCAAUAGGCAGCGCGUCAGUCUCAUAAUCAAAUCUAGAAAUCUGAAGGUCGUGAGUUCUAUCCUCAGACGGGGCA